UGCAAGAGAAUGUAAUGUUUCUCGAAAACACACUGACCUAAACUUCACCCCUGUCUAAGCAAACCACCAGUUUCUCUCUCUUACCUCUCUCUCUCCUAUUUCUCCCCCCUCUCUCACCUACCAUGAGAGACACACCCCACUUCUUCUCCAAAUGGGUUGGUUUCAGUCCCUCUUCUCUCCAUUGAAGAAGCUAUGGGUUAAACUACACUCAGCUCAAAAGAAGAGAAGAGGGAUAUACAUUCUAUAUGAGGAUGUGAAGUCAUGCCCCUGUGAAGAUGUGCAGGUGAUGUGGUCAAUACUUGUGGAGUUGCAAGCACCUUCUUUGCCAUCAACAAAAUGAAUGAAGAAAAAGGCAUACACAUACAUACAUACAUACACACACACAAACAUCACCACAAAACAUAUGAGAGAUAUUCAGUAUGUACACAUCACAAGUCAUGUCAUGUUUAAGUUUUUUGGUUGGUUUUUCCCUUUUGCUUUUUGCAAGUAUAUAUUUUAAGUUAUGUAUUUCUAAUUUACUCAAAUAUUGUCUGCUCUUUCCAAAAAAAAAAAAACCUCAAAAUAUGAAUCCUAGAAGGAAUGAAGUAGAUUCCGGGCUGGGGUGGGGUGGGGGUGAGAGUGGGAAAAGGCUUCUUAUCGUGAGGCCACAUUCUCUGUCCGGAUUCUCUUGAUCCCUCUGUUUCAAGCCACUUUUCUACAACACAACAAGUCUCUAUGACAUGAUUAUGACAAGAUUGUGCAGUGGAGAAGAACCUUGAAGCUGAGGGAGGGGGGAGAUCCAGACAGAUGAUCUGCUGCCUACUAUUGUAAUAUUUUUUUAAAGAACCAAUAGUAGAUUGUGUUAGGCAGUUCCAUUCUAUUUGGCUUCUUCUUGUUGCUUUGUCUGUUUCUAGCAGUUGAGGUGGCAAAGAGAUAGAGAGGAGGUUGACUUGUGAAAACUAUAGAAUGGAUGGGACAGCAUGAUUUUCAUGUCA